rnacentral:pre_miRNA from 1 species
UGUUAUAAAUUUUAUUCCUUUGUAUUGUUAAAAAUUGACAUGACUACAAAUUAAUUAGACAGUGACGCUUGGCGUGUCACAUGUACCUCAUUCAGAUGUACAAAAAUAAGUUUUUAACAGUAGAAAUGAAUAAUUUUUUUAAUA